rnacentral:rRNA from 1 species
GACGAACGCUGGCGGCGUGCUUAACACAUGCAAGUCGAACGGAAAGGCCCUGCUUUUGUGGGGUGCUCGAGUGGCGAACGGGUGAGUAACACGUGAGUAACCUGCCCUUGACUUUGGGAUAACUUCAGGAAACUGGGGCUAAUACCGGAUAGGAGCUCCUGCUGCAUGGUGGGGGUUGGAAAGUUUCGGCGGUUGGGGAUGGACUCGCGGCUUAUCAGCUUGUUGGUGGGGUAGUGGCUUACCAAGGCUUUGACGGGUAGCCGGCCUGAGAGGGUUGCCGGCCGCAUUGGGACUGAGAUACGGCCCAGACGCCUACGGGAGGCAGCAGUGGGGAAUAUUGCACAAUGGGCGGAAGCCUGAUGCAGCAACGCCGCGUGCGGGAUGACGGCCUUCGGGUUGUAAACCGCUUUCGCCUGUGACGAAGCGUGAGUGACGGUAAUGGGUAAAGAAGCACCGGCUAACUACGUG